GGCUCAGAACGAACGCCAGCGGCGUGGAUUAGGCAUGCAAGUCGAACGUGAUCCGUAGCAAUACGGUGAAAGUGGCGGAAGGGUGAGUAAUGCAUAGAGAACGUACCCCCGAGUCUGGGAUAACUCCGGGAAACCGGAGCUAAGACUGGAUGGGGUCGCGGGAGCGCCUGCUUCUGCGACUAAAGGUAGCCUCUGAACAUGCCUCCGCUCGGGGAGCGCUCUAUGUCCUAUCAGCUAGUUGGUGAGGGUAACGGCCCACCAAGGCAUUGACGGGUAGCCGGCCUUAGCGGGUGUCCGGCCACAUUGGGACUGAGACACUGCCCAAACUCCUACGGGAGGCUGCAGUCGAGGAUCUUCCGCAAUGGGCGCAAGCCUGACGGAGCGACGCCGCGUGUGGGAUGAAGGCCUUCGGGUUGUAAACCACUGUAACCUGUUAAGAAAGGGCUGGGUGUUAACAGCAUCCAGAACUGACGAAGGCAGGAGAGUAAGCCACGGCUAACUUCGUGCCAGCAGCCGCGGUAAGACGAAGGUGGCGAGCGUUGUUCGGAAUCACUGGGCAUAAAGCGCACGUAGGCGGCGGCGUAAGUCGGGUGUGAAAUCCCUCGGCCUAACCGAGGAACUGCGCCCGAUACUGCGUUGCUUGAGGACCAAAGGGGUGAUCGGAAUUUCCGGUGGAGCGGUGAAAUGCGUUGAUAUCGGAAGGAACGUCGGCGGCGAAAGCGGAUCACUGGUUGGUUACUGACGCUGAGGUGCGAAAGCCAGGGGAGCAAACGGGAUUAGAUACCCCGGUAGUCCUGGCCGUAAACGAUGGGUACUAGGUAGGGGGGUUCCAAACGCCUCUCUGCUGGAGCGAAUGUCUUAAGUACCCCGCCUGGGGAGUACAGUCGC
rnacentral:rRNA from 1 species